UCUGCAAUAGGCGAAAGCUUGACAGGGUUACUCUGAGUGAUUUCCGUUAAGGAGAUCUUUUGGCACCUCUAAAAAUGGUGCAGAAUAAGGGGUGGGCAAGUCUGGUGUCAGCCGCCGCGGUAAUACCAGCACCCCGAGUGGUCGGGACGUUUAUUGGGCCUAAAGCAUCCGUAGCCGGUUCUACAAGUCUUCCGUUAAAUCCACCUGCUUAACAGAUGGGCUGCGGAAGAUACUAUAGAGCUAGGAGGCGGGAGAGGCAAGCGGUACUCGAUGGGUAGGGGUAAAAUCCGUUGAUCCAUUGAAGACCACCAGUGGCGAAGGCGGCUUGCCAGAACGCGCUCGACGGUGAGGGAUGAAAGCUGGGGGAGCAAACCGGAUUAGAUACCCGGGUAGUCCCAGCUGUAAACGAUGCAGACUCGGUGAUGAGUUGGCUUAUUGCCAACUCAGUGCCGCAGGGAAGCCGUUAAGUUUGCCGCCUGGGGAGUACGGUCGCAAGACUGAAACUUAAA
rnacentral:rRNA from 2 species